rnacentral:lncRNA from 1 species
AAAAUUGAUGAGGUUUGACUUAAAAAAAUCAGUAUGCACUACAUUAUGAAACACAUGGAGUAUUUAAGCCAUCGAUAUUAUGAGCCCACGAUAUCAUAAUACAAAAAUGCCUUACAUUAUGGGAUGGAAGGACUAUAAUCUAACUCAACAACCUUAUUUUGAGCUUUAACCAACUCGAUUAAAAGCCCAAAAUAAUUUCUACUCCUAAUAGUGUUUGGGACGACCAAAAAAAGAACCCCAUCAUCAAUAUACAAGUUUCUUCCCUAUCCUUCUAAUCCCAACCAAAUCCUAUUCUCUAGCACUGAAAUGUUGUCGUGCUACCUCCGCCGCGCCACCCUGAUUCCACUGUCAUAGUCCAUUUUUGCUAGCACCACUAGAAAUCCAUCCCCUCCUCCUCAAUUAUGGCACCACGAAUCCUGAUGGUCCAGAUACAUGUUUCGAGGUGGAUGCGCCACCUCACAUUUGUGGUUGCAGACACGCAUUCCUUGAGCUUUGUCGUGCCUGUGAAUUUGCCUUCCGCCUACAUCCAGCCCAACUUCAAAGAGCGUCCAGAGGCAGAGGCAAGAACCCUCAGUCUCCAACCUGGAACGGCUCGACAGGUUCAGCAGAUUUGAGUAAAUCUCUAUCACCGUUCAAUGAUCUCUACAUCUUAAACUAAAGCAGCACUUCACCGUGGACAUUCUGUGCCAAAAGAGGAUCGCGUCAACUUCCUCGAGCCUCCUAGUCCAAUGAAACAAAUUCUAUUUGAUAUUUCAUCGAGCUGUUUCAACUACUAUUUAAUUUCUUACCGGCACACCAUGAAGAUUGGAAGAAAGAAUAUAUGUUUUUCAAGCUCGCGCUAGCAUACAAGGUGUGUGAGUUGGCUAACCUAUGGUGAGGAACUAGAAAAGGGGUUCAUUUUAAAGACAUGGUAGGUACGAGUUUACACAAGGAUGUUAAUUGUUAGCCACAUCACCAUGAUCCCAUUAAUCAUGCCCGCAUUAGAGUGCUAACAUAAAAACGACCAAAUCAUAGCUCAUUUCGUCCUACAUGCAUAUCUUGAGCCAACAAUAUGAAGAGGCUACCAUAUUGACCAGACAAAGAAAAUGGUAAAUGACUGUCACAAUCAAACCCCAAAACCUUUUGUUCGGGCUUUAACCUACUUGACUAAAAACCUGAAAGGGUUUCACCCCCUAAUACCACUUAGG